CCAAUGUGGAUAUCCUGUGAGGUUGCUCUCAUAGGCUCUGUCCUGGUGGCGUACGGGAGCGCAGCGUUGUAUGGCGCAGUGACGUAUAUUCCCCUUCCACGACAUUGGAGAGCAAGCGCGUCCCCGGGCCUUGGUCUGGUGUGGACGGCGUCCUGUAUAUUCCUACAACUUCCCAGAGCCUUCGGGCUGUGAUUGGGGAGACAAACCAUGCAGGAUACAUUG